UGCCUUGGUGUUACCUAUAAUUUUCUUUAUGGAUUAUAGUGUGUCAAACAAGGCAAAUAUUAAAGUUGGUUCUUUGCAGAUAGUUUGUUUUUAAAGAGCCAUUUCUGUUCAGUACCACACAUUU